rnacentral:rRNA from 1 species
UGGGGAAUAUUGCGCAAUGGGGGGAACCCUGACGCAGCCAUGCCGCGUAAAUGAAGAAGGCCUUCGGGUUGUAAAGUUCUUUCGGUAUUGAGGAAGGUUGAUGUGUUAAUAGCACAUCAAAUUGACGUUAAAUACAGAAGAAGCACCGGCUAACUCCGUGCCAGCAGCCGCGGUAAUACGGAGGGUGCGAGCGUUAAUCGGAAUAACUGGGCGUAAAGGGCACGCAGGCGGUUAUUUAAGUGAGGUGUGAAAGCCCCGGGCUUAACCUGGGAAUUGCAUUUCAGACUGGGUAACUAGAGUACUUUAGGGAGGGGUAGAAUUCCACGUGUAGCGGUGAAAUGCGUAGAGAUGUGGAGGAAUACCGAAGGCGAAGGCAGCCCCUUGGGAAUGUACUGACGCUCAUGUGCGAAAGCGUGGGGAGCAAACAGGAUUAGAUACCCUGGUAGUCCACGCUGUAAACGCUGUCGAUUUGGGGGUUGGGGUUUAACUCUGGCGCCCGUAGCUAACGUGAUAAAUCGACCGCCUGGGGAGUACGGCCGCAAGGUUA